rnacentral:rRNA from 1 species
UUGGAGGGCAAGUCUGGUGCCAGCAGCCGCGGUAAUUCCAGCUCCAAUAGCGUAUAUUAAAGUUGUUGCAGUUAAAAAGCUCGUAGUUGAAUUUCGGGAUCAAUGUUUCGGUCAUGCCGUUGGUAUGUACUGAUAUUAUUGGUUUCUCACCUUCUAAAGAACCGUAAUGCCAUUAAUUUGGUGUCACGGGGAAUUAGGACUGUUACCUUGAAAAAAUUAGAGUGUUUAGAGCAGGCUCACGCUUGAAUACAUUAGCAUGGAAUAAUGAAAUAGGACAUCCGAUUCUAUUUUGUUGGUUUCUAGGAUCGAUGUAAUGAUUAAUAGGGAUAGUUGGGGGCUUUAGUAUUCAAUUGUCAAAGGUGAAAUUCUUGGAUUUAUUGAAGACUAACUACUGCGAGAGCAUUUGCCAAGGAUGUUUUCAUUAAUCAAGAACGAAAGUUAGGGGAUCGAAGACGAUCAGAUACCGUCGUAGUCUUAACCAUAAACUAUGCCGACUAGGGAUCGGAUGAUGUUAAUUUUUUAAUGACUCAUUCGGCGCCUUACGGGAAACCAAAGUGUUUGGGUUC